AUUGAACGCUGGCGGCAGGCCUAACACAUGCAAGUCGAGCGGUUGAGGUAGCUUGCUACCGAUACAGCGGCGGACGGGUGAGUAAUACAUGGGAAUCUGCCUGGUAGUGGGGGACAACGUUUCGAAAGGAACGCUAAUACCGCAUACGCCCUACGGGGGAAAGGGGGGGAUCUUCGGACCUCUCGCUAUCAGAUGAGCCCAUGUCAAAUUUGCUUGUUGGUGAGGUAAAGGCUCACCAAGGCGACGAUCUGUAACUGGUCUGAGAGGAUGAUCAGUCACACUGGAACUGAGACACGGUCCAGACUCCUACGGGAGGCAGCAGUGGGGAAUAUUGGACAACGGGCGCAAGCCUGAUCCAGCCAUGCCGCGUGUGUGAAGAAGGCCUUAGGGUUGUAAAGCACUUUCAGUGGGGAGAAAGGCCUUUUACUUAAUACGUAAGAGGAUUGAUGUUACCCACAGAAGAAGCACCGGCUAACUCCGUGCCAGCAGCCGCAGUAA
rnacentral:rRNA from 1 species